AAAAAAUAUAGUGCACACAGGUUCGGCUACUUGAAAAAGGUCCGCCGAUUAAAAGGGAAUCGGGUGUAAGUCCCGAACAGUCCCGCUGCUGUAAGCUCCAUAAAAAGGUCCCGAGAAUACUGAAAGCCACUGAUUAUGACGAUUGGGAAGGCCUCGGUUACCGGAGUAAGUCAGAAGACCUGCCGUGUGUAUUGUCCGAAAA
rnacentral:ncRNA from 19 species